rnacentral:lncRNA from 1 species
GUCGUUUGUUUAUGUGUUACAUAUUUGUUUUUCGUUCAUUUUUUUUACAUAAAUAAGGCCGUUAGUUUUCUCGUUUGAAUUGUUUUUCAUUGUCUUAUCGGGGCCUAUUAUAGCUGACUUUGCGGUAUGGGCUUUGCUCAUUGUUGAAGGCCGUACGGUGACCUAUAGUUGUUAAUGUCUGUGUCAUUUUGGUCUUUUGCGGAUAGUUGUCUCAUUGGCAAUCAUACCACAUCUUCUUUUUUAUAAGCCUUAUUGUUUUCAAUGUUUUUAUUUGUUUU